GAUGAACGCUGGCGGCGUGCCUAAUACAUGCAAGUCGAGCGAACAGACGAGGAGCUUGCUCCUCUGACGUUAGCGGCGGACGGGUGAGUAAUACGUGGAUAACCUACCUAUAAGACUGGGAUAACUUCGGGAAACCGGAGCUAAUACCGGAUAAUAUAUUGAACCGCAUGGUUCAAUAGUGAAAGACGGUUUUGCUGUCACUUAUAGAUGGAUCCCGGCCGCAUUAGCUAGUUGGUAAGGUAACGGCUUACCAAGGCAACGAGGCGUAGCCGACCUGAGAGGGUGGUCGCCCACAUGGGAGCGGGGCCACGCACCAGACUCCUGCGGGAGGGCGCAGUCGGGUACGUGCCGCAGCAGUCGAGAGCCUUACGGAGUAGGCCCGCGUGAGAGGUGACGGUCUUGGGUUCGUAAUGCCCUGUUACUAGGUAUGAACAAAUGUGUACUUAACUAUGCACGUCUUGACGGUACCUAGUAAGAAAGCCCCGGCUAACUACGUG
rnacentral:rRNA from 1 species